UGAUCCUUCAGCGAGCUUCGGCUCACUAUCGGAUCGUUUUAGAAACAUCAGUGGCCAACAGAUCGCCAGAUCGUUGAGCUGCAUUGGCGGGAUUUCGCCGUCUUCGUUUCUCUUUCUUCGCGGACGAACACGCGCUGGGCCUGCAACGGCAGGAUCCAGGGUCCUUAACGGGAUAUGCGUUAGGGGCUUGUAGCUCAGUUGGUUAGAGCGCGCGCUUGAUAAGCGUGAGGUCGGAAGUUCAAGUCUUCCCAGGCCCACCACUUUCAUCGAGUGAGCAUUCGUCUUCUGGUUACGGGGCCAUAGCUCAGCUGGGAGAGCGCGUGCUUUGCAAGCAUGAGGUCGUCGGUUCGAUCCCGUCUGGCUCCACCAGAUGGUUUGAUCACCGAGGUCAUGCACCGUCGUCCGCGAAACAUCACUUCGCAUUCACUAGUCUGGAUAGACAGUGAACUGCGUGUUUUCUGACAUCGUAAAGAGGAGAUCGAUCCGAGUUGGAUCGUGCGGCAAGCAAUUGCCACGCGAUACUUCAUUAUCUCCGGAUCAUUUUCGGCGCUCGCGCGCUUUUCAAGUGUAGCUCACAAGGCUGCAUCUGAAGAACGAGCGAGUUGUAAAAUGAUCCUUUUAGCGAAGCUUGACCGCCUCGCUAUCGGAACGAUCUUACGAAGCAAGCUGGUCUUUCUAGUCAAUGUCCGGCUGUACGUAGCAUUCAUCGAGGGUGCGCGCCGCAAGGCAAUCGUACAGACAACAUUCUGCCGAGUGUGUGGACAUUGAUAAUGAGAGCAAUCAAGUGCCUUAAGGGUGUUCGGUGGAUGCCUUGGCGCUGAGAGGCGAUGAAGGACGUGCUACGCUGCGAUAAGCC
rnacentral:misc_RNA from 1 species